rnacentral:rRNA from 1 species
GGGUCAGUAGGUUGGUCGUGCCACCGGUACGUACUGGUCUCACUGAUUCCUCCUUCCUGAAGAACUGUAAUGCCAUUAAUUUGGUGUUGCGGGGAAACAGGACUGUUACUUUGAAAAAAUUAGAGUGUUUAAAGCAAGCUAACGCUUGAAUACAUUAGCAUGGAAUAAUGAAAUAGGACGAUCGAUCCUAUUUUGUUGGUUUCUAGGAUUGACGCA